rnacentral:rRNA from 1 species
AUGGCGCUCUUCCGCAAGUUCUUUCUCAAGAAGACGCCGGAUCGGCUGCUCGAGAUCUCCGAGCGCGUCUAUGUGUUCGACUGUUGCUUCGCCGCGGAGGCCAUGGGUGAGGAUGAGUACAGGGAUUACUUGAGUGGCAUCGUUGCGCAGUUGCAGGACUACUUUCCCGAUGCGUCAUUCAUGGUCUCCAAUUUCUGGUCCGGGGACAAGAGGAGUCGGAUUUCAGAUAUAUUGUCUGAGUACGACAUGACAGUCAUGGACUACCCACAGCAAUAUGAAGGGUGCCCACUCCUUCAGCUUGAGAUGAUCCACCAUUUCUUGAAAUCAUGUGAAAAUUGGUUGUCAGUGGAAGGGCAGCAGAACAUGCUUCUAAUGCACUGUGAAAGAGGGGGAUGGCCAGUGCUUGCAUUCAUGUUGGCUGGACUACUUCUAUAUCGGAAAACGUACACUGGUGAGCACAAGACUCUAGAGAUGGUCUACAAGCAGGCUCGCAGGGACUUCAUACAGCAAUUCCUAAAGUUGAAUCCCCAGUCUUCUCAUCUGAGGUAUUUGCACUAUGUAACAAGACAUGGAAGUGGUUCAGAAUGGCCUCCAGUUAGCCGGCCUCUCAUAUUGGAUUCUGUAGUUCUCCACACAGUUCCUAGAUUUGAUUCCGAAGGGGGCUGUAGGCCGUAUUUGCGUAUUCACGGGCAAGACUCAAGUCCUGGUAACAAGAGUGCAAAGGUUCUUUUUGAGACGCCCAGGACCAAGAAACAUCUCCAGCGGCAUGGGCAGGCUGAAGUUUCGGUGAAAAUUAGUGCUUCUUGCCGUGUUCAGGGAGACGUGGUUCUUGAAUGCAUCCACAUUGGCGAAAAACUAGAUCGUGAGGAAACAAUGUUCCGCGUCAUGUUCAACACUGCAUUCAUUCAAUCAAAUGUCCUUGGAUUGAAUCGUGAUGAUAUUGAUGCUGCGUGGAAUGUGAAUAAUCAGUUCCCAAGGGACUUCCGAGCUGAGGUGCUAAAUUCACCUGCUUCUAUGCCUUUCUUCAAUUUUCUUUUCUGUUUGUCUCCUGUGCAUUAUGAAAUCUAA